rnacentral:lncRNA from 1 species
CCAAAUUUCUUGUAUUAACAACAUCACAGGUUGUAUUGAAGUUGCCACUUUAACUUAGGAAAACUGAUUCAUGUUUUGGAGUGAAGCCCUAAGAAAAAUCUAAGCCUGAAAAUGUUAAUAUAUUUACUCAAUAUGCCUAUGCAGUCAAACUCUCCAAACUGAUUUCUAAAAGAUUAUUUUUGGGAAUGACUAGGAAAGAUAAAUUCAAUAUUUUGGCAUAAAUCAGCCAACCAUGGUUGUUGUUUAAUUUCUUGAUCAUCACUUCAAGUCAAACAUAAUUAAUUAUAUUUGCAACUUUUCGUUACACAUCACCUGUGAAAUCCAGAUCUUCACAAUCUGAAUUCUAGAUGUAGCUUGUAAUCAAGUCAUAAUGAUCUCAAUGAGAUUUUGCAACUAAAAGGAGUAGUGUGGCUUCUGAUAAAAGCAGUGUGGAAGCAAUCUGAACUCAUAUUCCAAUAAUCAGGUAAAAAUACAAAGCUAACUCAUAUUCCAUAUGAAUUCAGUAUUUCGUAUCAAUCAUCUUACCAUGCCUCCAUUCUCUUCUUCAAACAUUUAUCUUUUGCUAGUUUUCUGUUUUGUGGCUCUGAUAAGGGAUUGUCAGUUUAGAAGAAGAAAGAAAUGCAUGCUUCUUUAAUCUUUGUUUUGUUAUGUUAAGUGGUUGCUAAUUCAACCAAACCACGUUUAUUUAUGCACUAAUCCAGUUCAUUUUUGUUCACCAAACUAGGUAUACAUAAUACACCUGAGAAGUGGUGCUAAAACUGGUCAGUCGCCUUCAUCGUCCCAUUUAAUUUCCACCUACUUCAAGAGUUUGUGGAUAGCAGGUAACAUAUUGAAUUGGUGUUCAAGUGCAGAGCUUUUUUUUU